rnacentral:rRNA from 1 species
AUGCACGCUGGCGGCGUGCCUCAUACCUGCCAGUCGAGCGAACAGACGAGGAGCUUGCUCCUCUGACGUUAGCGGCGGACGGGUGAGUAACACGUGGAUAACCUACCUAUAAGACUGGGAUAACUUCGGGAAACCGGAGCUAAUACCGGAUAAUAUAUUGAACCGCAUGGUUCAAUAGUGAAAGACGGUUUUGCUGUCACUUAUAGCUGGAUCCGCGCCGCAUUAGCUAGUUGGUAAGGUAACGGCUUACCAAGGCAACGAUGCGUAGCCGACCUGAGAGGGUGAUCGGCCACACUGGAACUGAGACACGGUCCAGACUCCUACGGGAGGCAGCAGUAGGGAAUCUUCCGCAAUGGGCGAAAGCCUGACGGAGCAACGCCGCGUGAGUGAUGAAGGUCUUCGGAUCGUAAAACUCUGUUAUUAGGGAAGAACAAAUGUGUAAGUAACUAUGCACGUCUUGACGGUACCUAAUCAGAAAGCCACGGCUAACUACGUG